rnacentral:rRNA from 1 species
UACGUAGGGUGCAAGCGUUAAUCGGAAUUACUGGGCGUAAAGCGUGCGCAGGCGGUUUUGUAAGUCUGACGUGAAAUCCCCGGGCUCAACCUGGGAAUUGCGUUGGAGACUGCAAGGCUUGAAUCUGGCAGAGGGGGGUAGAAUUCCACGUGUAGCAGUGAAAUGCGUAGAGAUGUGGAGGAACACCGAUGGCGAAGGCAGCCCCCUGGGUCAAGAUUGACGCUCAUGCACGAAGGCGUGGGGAGCAAACAGG